UUCAAAGACAUCGAUGCCAAUCAAAAAAUCAGAGAUAGACCGAAAUCAAUCAAAUUGGUCUGCAACGGACCACACGGGAUGCAGGUCCGAGACAUCGCCCUUAGUUACACGCCAGGUUAUCUGAUCGUGCAGACGGACCAGCCUUUGUACAAUCCGGAGCAGACAGUAAAUGUUCGAGUUUUGGCAAUGGAUGAAUCUAUGAAGCCAAUCAAGGACAAGCAGUUGAUCAUUGACCUGAUAGUCAGUGUAUGAAGCAAGUGGAUCAGGAGCUCUUCGAAAUGGCGAUAAAAAGGUCGUCAGAGAAAGAUGCUGUGAAAAGACAGAAACUUCGCAGCCCAGUCGAAGCUCUAAUGGACUAUGCAUGCAACUUUGAAAAA